GAUGAAGAACGUAGCGAAACGCGAAAGGUAAUGCGAAUUGCAGAAUCAGUGAAUCAUCGAAUCUUUGAACGCACCUUGCGCCCUUUGGACUUCUGAAGGGCAUGCCUGUUUGAGUAUCAUGAACACCUCAACUCCUUAUGGUCUUCCAUGAUGAGCUUGGACUUUGGGGGUUUUGCUGGCCUACAGUCAGCUCCUCUAAAAUAAAUCAGCUUACCGGUGUUUGGUGGGUAUCAUGGGUGUGAUAACUAUCUACGCUCGUGGUUUUCCACCAGGUAACCUUCAGCAGUGGAGGUUCACUGGAGCUCAUAGAUGUCUCUCCUCAGCGAGGACAGCCCUUUGAAUGUUUGAUCUCAAAUCAGGUAGGACUACCCGCUGAACUUAAGCAUAUCAAUAAGCGGAGGA
rnacentral:misc_RNA from 1 species